UGGGUAAUUUUGCACAAUGGGGGAAACCCUGAUGCAGCGACGCCGCGUGAUUUAGAUGGCCUUCGGGUUGUAAAAAUCUUUUCUAUGGGAAGAAAAUGACAGUACCAUAGGAAUAAGGACCGGCUAAUUACGUGCCAGCAGCCGCGGUAAUACGUAAGGUCCGAGCGUUGUCCGGAAUCAUUGGGCGUAAAGGGUACGUAGGCGGGUAAGCAAGUUAGAAGUGAAAUCCUAUAGCUCAACUAUAGUAAGCUUUUAAAACUGCUCAUCUUGAGGUAUGGAAGGGAAAGUGGAAUUCCUAGUGUAGCGGUGAAAUGCGCAGAUAUUAGGAGGAAUACCGGUGGCGAAGGCGACUUUCUGGCCAUAACCUGACGCUGAGGUACGAAAGCGUGGGUAGCAAACAGG
rnacentral:rRNA from 1 species